GUUAGGGUUGGGAAUGGGGUGAUUUGGGGGCCAAAAGUUAGUGGUGAGAAGAGUGAAUGCCACAGGCUGGCCAUUGUGGCUCAUGCCUGUAAUCCCAGCACUUUGGGAGGCUGAAGCAGGAGGAUCACUUGAGCGGGGAAGUUCAAGACCAGCCUGGGCAACACAAUGGCUGAGAGACUUUGCUGUUCCCUUUGUGCUUUUGAGCCCACACAUGGGAUCCUCUGUGUGCACCUUGCCUGAGAUCCAACCAGACUUCAAAGAAAGAAAAGCUUCAGACAUGCCAGUCCUUUCUCCAACCUGCCCCCAGGAUCCAGCAGAUACGGAGUUAAAUCCUAAAAUUUGAAGACAUUGGGUUUCUGCUCUUCCCUUCAGGCUGCUGCCAACUCACUGCCCUGUCCCCGGUUUUUGAAACACAUUGGCACCCGCCACCUCCUGGACUAUGUUGCAGCCACCACUGGGGGCCGAUAGCCACCGGCCUUUCGAAUGUGGGAUCCUCUUCUUUCCUGCUGCCAUGUGGGAGGCCAAUCACCCAUAUACCUGGAGUUUCUGGUUUUUCCUGCCAUUUCUGGACGUGAAUAAACAGAAGCACAACUAUAGGCCUGAUCUGGCAUCUGCAAGCACAGGGCAGCUUCACCCUGUGUAGUGGACACUGACUAGUGAGAAACAGAAGACAGAGUGAGCUGGCCAGGACUGGGACCAGGGUGAGGUGAGGGAGACAACAAAAGCUUGCAGGUAAGGAGGCAUGCAUUGUCAAGGGUACACCUGUAUCCCAGACAUCUCUGGGAUACACCUUUGCUCUGGAGGUGGCAGAUGAGCUCCCCUCCCUGUGUGCUCCCAUGGACUGUGUUCUGAAAGCUGGUCUGAGUCCCCAUGUGUGGAGUGAAUCGUCCUGCCUGGUAACCUGUUGUGUCUCUGCGUGAAUCGUUAUGGAUCAGAGGCAAUACUCUGGGCAGUUGCACCUCCUUCCAUGAGUCCUCUCCUCUUCUCCUCACCCUUAAAUUCAGUAUCUUCCAAAUAAAGUGUAAGUAUCUUAAUUCUUACCCCAAGCUCUGUUUUUCUUUUUUUUCUCUGAGACAAGGUCUUGCUCUGUUGCCUGGGCUAGAAUGCAGUGGCACAAGCAUGGCUCGCUGCAGCCUCGACCUCCUGUUUCAGGCGAUUCUCUCACCUCUGCCUCCUGGGUAGCUAAGAUGAUAGGCAUGCCACUAGGCCAGCUAAGUUCUCCAUUUUUUUGUAGAACCAUGGGGUCUUGCCGUUUUACCAAGGCUGGCCUCCAACUCCUGGAUUCAAGUAAUCUACCCACCUAAGCCUCCCAAAGUGCUGGGAUUACAGAUAUGAGCCACUGUGCCCAGCCUCAGGCUCUGUUUUUUCAAAAACGGGCUAAAACAAUGUGAAUGACUAAAGACAAAACACUAGAUGAAUUAGGCAGUUACUUUUUAAUGAGGUACUGUAAUGGGCAGAAAUUCAUUUAAUUCUGAUCUUUUGAUGAAAAAGCAGAGGCCGUUAAUUGGAUGUUUGCAGGCUGAAUUCUAUAUAUUUUCUUUGAUCUCUUUCUCUCUCUCUCCAUUUAGUUGAGUGGUCAUUUAAGAAUUAGGCACUUUCAUGUAAAAUUCCAAAUUUUUGACUUCUUUUGGAACAUUGGAAGAUGUGGAGAUACAGGCCACCAGUUGGCUGGAGUUGGGCACUGGCUGCCCCCUUUGAUGGGAUGGGAGAGCACAGGCCAGCUGGCUGCAGUCCCAGUACUCCACAUGACAUGUAAGGACUCCUGCACAUGGCCCAUGUGUCCUCAUUUAUAGCAUAGGCCUGGCCCUUUGCAGGCUUUUGAGUUUGACAUCUCCACAGUAAAGAGAAAUUCAACUCCGGGUCUUGUUGGGAUAGGAAUUCCUUUUCAGAAGGCAUAUAUAUACUGGGCUAGUGGCCUAAAGAUUGCUGAAUCAUCUGGCCCAAUUAGAAUUGGUCUUUGAUUGAUGGAGGAGUCAGACAGCACCAUAUGGAGCACAUCCCAAGCUCCCCUCCUGGGAGGGGAAGAUUCUCCUAACAAAGUGACCAGUGCUUUUGAGAGCUCCUGAAUCUUGAGAGAGAGAGGGAGCUGUUGGUUUAAUAUCAGUAACA